GACGAACGCUGGCGGCGUGCUUAACACAUGCAAGUCGAACGGAAAGGCCCUGCUUGCAGGGUACUCGAGUGGCGAACGGGUGAGUAACACGUGGGUGAUCUGCCCUGCACUUCGGGAUAAGCCUGGGAAACUGGGUCUAAUACCGGAUAGGAGCCAUUUUAGUGUGAUGGUUGGAAAGUUUUUCGGUGUAGGAUGAGCUCGCGGCCUAUCAGCUUGUUGGUGGGGUAAUGGCCUACCAAGGCGGCGACGGGUAGCCGGCCUGAGAGGGUGGACGGCCACAUUGGGACUGAGAUACGGCCCAGACUCCUACGGGAGCAGCAGUGGGGAAUAUUGCACAAUGGGCGCAAGCCUGAUGCAGCGACGCCGCGUGGGGGAUGACGGCCU
rnacentral:rRNA from 1 species